CAGUAGCCGCGGUAAUACGGAGGGGGCUAGCGUUGUUCGGAAUUACUGGGCGUAAAGCGCACGUAGGCGGAUCUUUAAGUCAGAGGUGAAAUCCCAAGGCUCAACCUUGGAACUGCCUUUGAUACUGGGGAUCUUGAGUCCGGAAGAGGUGAGUGGAACUGCGAGUGUAGAGGUGAAAUUCGUAGAUAUUCGCAAGAACACCAGUGGCGAAGGCGGCUCACUGGUCCGGUACUGACGCUGAGGUGCGAAAGCGUGGGGGGCAAACAGGAUUAGAUACCCCGGUAGUCCCUGUCUCUUAUAC
rnacentral:rRNA from 1 species